rnacentral:rRNA from 1 species
ACGCACGCUGGCGGCGUGCUUAACACCUGCAAGUCGAACGGAAAGGCCCUGCUUUUGUGGGGUGCUCGAGUGGCGAACGGGUGAGUAACACGUGAGUAACCUGCCCUUGACUUUGGGAUAACUUCAGGAAACUAGGGCUAAUACCGGAUAGGAGCUCCUGCUGCAUGGUGGGGGUUGGAAAGUUUCGGCGGUUGGGGAUGGACUCGCGGCUUAUCAGCUUGUUGGUGGGGUAGUGGCUUACCAAGGCUUUGACGGGUAGCCGGCCUGAGAGGGUGACCGGCCACAUUGGGACUGCGAUACGGCCCAGACUCCUGCGGGAGGCAGCAGUGGGGAAUAUUGCACAAUGGGCGGAAGCCUGAUGCAGCAACGCCGCGUGCGGAAUGACGGCCUUCGGGUUGUAAACCGCUUUCGCCUGUGACGAAGCGUGAGUGACGGUAAUGGGUAAAGAAGCACCGGCUAACUACGUG